GACGAACGCUGGCGGCGCGCUUAAGCUUAUGCAAGUCGUGCGAUUAAAGCUCCCUUCGGGGAGUGUAUAAAGCGGCGAACGGGUGAGUAACACGUGGGUAACCUACCCUCCGCGUGGGGAAUAACCCGCCGAAAGGCGGGCUAAUACCGCAUACGGUCCCCAGACGACAUCGGCUGGGGAAGAAAGCCGGCCUCUGCUUGCAUGCCGGCGCCGGAGGAUGGACCCGCGGGCUAUUAGCUUGUUGGUGGGGUAACGGCCUACCAAGGCGAUGAUGGCUAGCCGGCCUGAGAGGGCGUACGGCCACACAGGGACUGAGACAAGGCCCUGUCCCCUACGGGAGGCGCAGGCGGGAAUCGUUCACAAUGGGCGCAAGCCUGAUGACGCGACGCCGCGUGAGGGAUGACGGCUUUCGGGUUGUAAACCUCUGCCGGGAGAGAAGAAAGGCGAGCGGUUAAUAGCCGCUCGAGCUGACGUUAUCUCCCAAGAAAGCCUCGGCUAACUACGUGCCAGCAGCCGCGGUAAUACGUAGGAGGCAAGCGUUGUCCGGAAUUACUGGGCGUAAAGGGUGUGUAGGCGGGACGGUAAGUCGGGCGUGAAAUCCCACGGCUCAACCGUGGAACUGCGCUCGAUACUGCCGACCUUGAGUACGGGAUAGGAGAGUGGAACUCACGGUGUAGCGGUAAAAUGCGUAGAUAUCGUGAGGAACACCGGUGGCGAAGGCGGCUCUCUGGCCCGAUACUGACGCUGAAACACGAAAGCCAGGGUAGCGAACGGGAUUAGAUACCCCGGUAGUCCUGGCCGUAUACGAUGGGCACUAGGUGUGGGAGGCAUCGACCCUUUCCGUGCCGAAGCUAACGCAUUAAGUGCCCCGCCUGGGGAGUACGAUCGCAAGGUUG
rnacentral:rRNA from 1 species